UGUUCUUGCUGGGGUCUCAGUUUCUGGUGCAACUCCAAGCAUCCCUGCUUGUUGGUGUGUUUUAGGCUGCCUCCUGAUGCUGUGCUGAGGCCCCCUCACUGACCUGCCAAGAGACCCGGUUUGCUUCUCUGGCGUACCCUGCGACGACGGCAUCCGCCUCGGAGCGUGGCCGAAAUGUGUGGCCGGAGGACCCGGGAGUUCCUAAGAGACGGUGAUGAUACUUGUCUGAGACAACAGCCUGGUGAGAGAAGAACUUCACAGACAGCGAGGUGGCUUUGUUUGGCUCCCGACCGGCCUCUCGCUGUGACUCACAUCUUCAGCCCUCUGAGAGAUAAGUGGAGCCCGCAGAGGGGAUCAAAGCAGGGCGGCGGUCGGGACUGAGAUCGGUUUGGGUUUUUGAGUGAGCUUUGGGGAUGGGGAGGUUCUGGAAAUGACCCCAUAGGCCCCAGUGAGGGAAAGCCUCACUUUGGUUCGCAAUGCUGAGGCGGGCAGGGCAGAGCAGUCCCAGGGUGUGUUGUCACUUGUCUCGCGUGCCUUCUGUGUCUUCUGUGCCUUCUGUGCAUCUCGUGUAAUGUGUCUCUUGCCUUAGCCCUCCCAGGGGCUUAUGAGAAACCCUGGGGUCCUUCCGUUCAUCUCCCAUCUUUGCGUUCCUCGGCCCGACGCCGGCGAAGCUUCGAUUCGGGAGGUCGGACACAUGUCAGAAUCGCAUCUGUCUUCAGAAGCACGUGAUCUUUUUAGGUCUCGUUCUCAGCUGUGUCAACAGCUAUAUGCAGCAAUGUCUCUUUACAGUGGAUAAGGACUUCUGCCGAUUCAAAGGCAGGCAGAGGCUUCCAGCCACAGGAUUCUCGGGCAUCCGUCUCUGCGGUUCUUGGAAAAUAGUUGUUCCGUUAGCGUCUUUUUCCUCCAGGGUCAUCCGAGCCCGGCAGGCUCGCCUGGGGUCCCUCCUCGGUCAUCUCGUUCAGCAUUCUCUCGGUCCUCGUGAGGACUUUCUUGUCUCAGGGAGUUUUCACUCAGGGAGACACUCCCUCGUCUCACGUGUCACGGGUGUCUGGGGGUAUUCGGUCCGGAGCUGCUCUGCCCUGCUGCCCAGCCCGGUUGUAGGCGUUUAAGGACAAGUCCCGGGCACUUGUAAUUGGAGACUUGUCGUACGGGCUGUAGUUGGAGUCUAGGUGGUAUUCUUAUGUUGGCAGAAGGUGUUUGGAGCUGUGAAGUUACCCUGCAGCACUUUGACUUUUUUCCUAACUUUCUUUCAGAUGCAGACGGAUUGACCUCCUGGCAAAGCAUCUGUCCCAGAU